AUUGAACGCUGGCGGCAGGCCUAACACAUGCAAGUCGAGCGUGCGGCGGACGGGUGAGUCAUGUCUGGGAACCUGCCUGCUGGAGGGGGUUAACUACUGGAAACGGUAGCUAAUACCGCAUACCAUCAGAUGUGCCCAGAUGGGAUUAGCUGGUUGGUGGGGUAACGGCUCACCUAGGCGACGAUGCCUAGCUGGUCUGAGAGGAUGACCAGCGACAUUGGAGGUGAGACACGGUCAAGAGUACUACGGUAGGGAGCAGUGGGGAAUAGGGCACAGUGGGCGCGAGCAUGAUGCAGCCAUGCGGCGUGUGUGAAGAAGGCCUUGGGGUUGUGAAGAAGUUUCAGGGGGGAGGCGUUAGCCGCAGAAGAAGCACCGGCUAACUCCGUGCCAGCAGCCGCGGUAAUAC
rnacentral:rRNA from 1 species